rnacentral:rRNA from 1 species
AUUGAACGCUGGCGGCAUGCCUUACACAUGCAAGUCGAACGGCAGCGCGGGAGCAAUCCUGGCGGCGAGUGGCGAACGGGUGAGUAAUAUAUCGGAACGUGCCCAGUAGUGGGGGAUAGCCCGGCGAAAGCCGGAUUAAUACCGCAUACGACCCGAGGGUGAAAGGGGGGGAUCGCAAGACCUCUCGCUAUUGGAGCGGCCGAUAUCAGAUUAGGUAGUUGGGGGGGUAAAGGCCUACCAAGCCUGCGAUCUGUAGUUGGUCUGGGAGGACGACCGGCCAAACUGGGACUAAGACACGGCCCAGACGCCUACGGAAGGCAGCAGUGGGGAAUGUUGGCCAAUGGGCGCAAGCUUGAUCCAGCAAUGCCGCGUGCAGGAAGAAGGCCUUCGGGUUGUAAACUGCUUUUGUCAGGGAAGAAAUCCUCUAGGCUAAUACCUUGGGGGGAUGACGGUACCUGAAGAAUAAGCACCGGCUAACUACGUGCCAGCCGCCGCGGUAA